ACUGUCCACCAGAGGUCACCGUGAAAGGCAGAUACCAUGCGAAGCCUACAACAGUGUGGUCGCUAGGAAUCCUCCUGUUCUUGAUGGCCUGUGGGUAUUAUCCCACAGAAUACGACCUCCAUCUGAUCAGUAAGAGGAGCUGGACCAGACCUGGCCUGUCACAAGAAUGCUGCCAGAUCAUAGCUUCGUGUUUGCAGUCUGAUCCAAAGCGGAGGAUCAAUCUGGAGAAGAUGCUUCUCCAUGAUUGGUUUAAGCAGGUCGUGGAGUAAUACAUGAAGAACUGUCACAACAGCUGUCACAUAUGUGGCUUUCCUGUCCCUCCAUCCACGCCUUGGCGCCUCGACUUGGACCAGCAAUACUUUACAAUAAUAUUUAAAGAUACUUAGUUAAAGAUAUACUACUAUUCUUAUUCAAUACU